GUGACCACGUGCCGGACCCGGCGGCGGGUCUCGUCGUCGUCGAGGCGGGCCAGCGCGGCGUCCAGGUCGCCGGUGGCGACG
rnacentral:tRNA from 1 species